rnacentral:rRNA from 1 species
UACAGAGGGUGCGAGCGUUAAUCGGAAUUACUGGGCGUAAAGCGCGCGUAGGCGGUUUGUUAAGUCGGAUGUGAAAUCCCCGGGCUCAACCUGGGAAUUGCGCUUGUGACUGGCGGGCUCGAGUACGGUAGAGGGGGGUGGAAUUCCUGGUGUAGCAGUGAAAUGCGUAGAGAUCAGGAGGAACACCGAUGGCGAAGGCAGCCCCCUGGGCCUGUACUGACGCUCAUGCACGAAAGCGUGGGGAGCAAACAGG